ACGCUCGACACCUACUGGAGGCAGCAGUGGGGAAUAUUGCACAAUGGGGGAAACCCUGAUGCAGCGACGCCGCGUGAGUGAAGAAGUAUUUCGGUAUGUAAAGCUCUAUCAGCAGGGAAGAAAAUGACGGUACCUGAGUAAGAAGCCCCGGCUAACUACGUGUCAGCAGCCGCGGUAAUCUGAGCGGGCUGGCAAGGC
rnacentral:rRNA from 1 species